rnacentral:lncRNA from 1 species
UAAGUGAGAUAUGAUAAUAAAGAUUAAAGAGAUAUAAAAAUUAAUAUUACCUGAAGUAUAUGUAAGUUACAUAACUAUAACUUAUAAAGUGAAAAUUAAAUAAUAUUUUUAGGUUUUGAAUAGUAAAACCUCAAAUUUGAAGUUUCAAUAAUCAGAACCAAAUUUGAUGGUUUGAAUGCUUUUUUAAAAGCCAAAAACCUCAAAAUUUGGAAGUUUGGAAGUUUGAAAGCUUCAUAGUAAUGUCUAAUGAACGAACAUUUUAUAUGAUAUCAGAACAAGAAGUAGGACGUUAAUAUAAUAAUGUUUGUGGAAAAACGCCAAGUGAAAAAGAAAGCCACUCACUAUAUAAUUUCCAGGAAACUUACUUAGGAAAUUAGUUGGGGCAAAUCUCCAAAAUAGCAACUUUCUAAGUUUAUAUCACAAAAAUAGCACUCAAAAACUAAAAUGACCAAAUCUUUUGAAAAUUUUAAUUUUUUUAUUUUUCAAAAUUUGAAAUCUUAUCUCCAAAAACUCAUUUCUCAACCCUAAACUCUAAACCCUAAACCCUAAACCCUAAACCCUAAACCCUAAACCCUAAACCCUAAACCCUAAACCCUAAACCCUAAACCCUAAACUCUAAACCAUAAACCCUAAACCCUAAACCCUAAACUCUAAACCCUAAACCCUAAAUUCUAAACCCUAAACCCUAAACCCUAAAUCCUAAAUCCUAAACCCCACCCUUUAAUUUUAAACCCUAAGUUUGUGACUUUUGAUAAAACAUUAAGUACUAUUUUUGUGACUUUUGACCUUGAGUGCUAGUUUGGGAA